UCACAGCUUCUGCUAUAAAUAUUUCAUGUUGUCUUGCACAGAAGAAAGUUAGUCAUACAGGUUUUGAAGGACAUGAGGGUGAGGAAAUGAUGACAGAAUUCACAUCUUCUUUGGCCUGUUUUGCAUCUGAUAACUUUCUCAAAACCCCCCAUCCGUCUUUCGUCCAUGCUCACGCGUUAUUCUGUCCAGGUAUGCUGGCGGUGGGCCCUGCGUGAUUAUGAGCUGGUAUGAAUAUAUGAUAAGAGGAAUGAUGACAGCAGGCCUUUGCUGAAAUAUGAAACUGAUGGCGCCGAUUCGUCAACAUUCGACAGGUGUCAGCAGAAAGAAGAGAUAAAAGUCUCAGGUGCUGGGAAAGGAGGAGAUUCAGUGGAGGAGAGGAGAGACGGAUGAUAUUUAGACCUGGGUGAAUGAGAAGCAAUAGUUGGAUAUUGAAGCCCUCAGGAGUUGAUCGUCUAGCCAGUUUUUACUGCUCCGGCUGCCAGGAGACAGAGACUGAGAGAGAUGGGACGGAGCAAGAAGAUUUAAUUGUGGAGGUUGGUGGGUUACAAAUGAGUAAGAGUGAAUAAACAAGAGAGAUAAACAAGAGUGAAUGAGUGUGAUGAGGA